rnacentral:rRNA from 1 species
UACGGAGGGUGCAAGCGUUAUCCGGAUUCACUGGGCUUAAAGGGCGCGUAGGUGGGUUGGUAAGUCAGUGGUGAAAUCUCCGGGCUUAACCUGGAAACUGCCAUUGAUACUAUCAGUCUUGAAUACCGUGGAGGUCAGCGGAAUAUGUCAUGUAGCGGUGAAAUGCUUAGAUAUGACAUAGAACACCAAUUGCGAAGGCAGCUGACUACGCGAAUAUUGACACUGAUGCACGAAAGCGUGGGGAUCAAACAGG